UGGCUCUCGCAUCGAUGAAGAACGCAGCGAAAUGCGAUACGUAAUGUGAAUUGCAGAAUUCAGUGAAUCAUCGAAUCUUUGAACGCACAUUGCGCUCUCUGGUAUUCCGGAGAGCAUGCUUGUUUGAGUAUCAGUAAAACACCCUCAGUUCCUAUAUCUCUUUCUCUCUUGUAGAGGUGAGACUAGGAAUUGGACUUGAGCGAACCCAACGGCGAUAGAGAGAUUAAAUCCAAUCUAUUGUUGGCGGGUUGCUUGAAAUGCAGGUGCGGCAGGAACAUCUUCUGAGCUAUAAGCAUUACUUAUUUAGUCCCGUCAGACGGACUAUUACUAUUGCUGCAGCUAAUAUAUUAAAGGUUGAUAGUUCCAUUUGCUCCGACUGAUGCAGGAAUUGUCAAAGGUGGAUUCCUUUUUCUUUUUAGAGAAUGGAGAUCCCUUUUGUUCAACUCGAUCUCAAAUCAAGUAAGACUACCCGCUGA
rnacentral:misc_RNA from 1 species